CAGACUCCCCGGUGAGGGUCCAGGCUGUCGACCCAGGAGGCCCAGCCGACCAGGCCGGUCUCCAGCACUUAGACACACUCCUGCAGCUGAACGGACAGCCCGUGGAGCAGUGGAAAUGUAUAGACCUGGCCCACGCCAUCAGAAACAGCUCCAACA